rnacentral:rRNA from 1 species
UACGGAGGGUGCAAGCGUUGUUCGGAAUUAUUGGGCGUAAAGAGCAUGUAGGCGGCCUGUUAAGUCUGGUGUGAAAGCCCCGGGGGCUCAACCCCGGAAGUGCAUUGGAUACUGGCAGGCUUGAGUAUGGGAGAGGAAAGUGGAAUUCCGAGUGUAGGAGUGAAAUCCGUAGAUAUUCGGAGGAACACCAGUGGCGAAGGCGGCUUUCUGGACCAAUACUGACGCUGAGAUGCGAAAGCGUGGGGAGCAAACAGG